GACGAACGCUGGCGGCGUGCCUAAUACAUGCCAGUCGAACGCACAGUUUAUACCGUAGCUUGCUACACCAUAGACUGUGAGUUGCGAACGGGUGAGUAACGCGUCGGUAACCUGCCUGGUAGCGGGGGAUAACUAUUGGAAACGAUAGCUAAUACCGCAUAAUAUUAAUUAUUGCAUGAUAAUUAAUUGAAAGGUGCAAUUGCACCACUACCAGAUGGACCUUCGUUGUAUUAGCUAGUAGGUGAGGUAACGGCUCACCUAGGCGACGAUACAUAGCCGACCGGAGAGGGGGAUCGGCCAAACUGGGACGGAGACACGGCCCAGACUCCUACGGGAGGCAGCAGUAGGGAAUCGUCGGGAAGGGAGGAAAGUCUGACCGAGCAACGCCGCGUGAGGGAAGAAGGGUGUCGGAUCGGAAAGCUCUGUUGUAAGAGAAGAACGGGGGUGAGAGUGGAAAGUUCACAAUGUGACGGUAGCUUACCAGAAAGGGACGGCUAACUACGUG
rnacentral:rRNA from 1 species